UUCUGCUUCAGCUUCCCAGGCUCAGACAUCAGGAUCUGACCGAGCAAGCGUUUUUAUCCAGGUCAGAAGAAAAGGCCCAGAGUGACGAUGUAAGAGACGACGAUCCACUCUUGCAAAGAUGGCCACCGCUCCAUCUUCACCAGGAUUAUGUAGUUAUACAACAUCAGAUACACCAGUUUUUCCAUCAUUGCUUCCUUUGGACGAAUGAUGAGGAGCUUCAUCCCCAAGACGAAAGUCCAGGAGCAGGAUGGCAGGAGGGAAAAUAAUCCCUAAAAUGACCUGGUUACAGGGCGAGGAGGGGACAAAGGCCAGAGCCAAGCUCAGCUGAUCAGACGCAGAAGCAUUUGUACCUGAAACCAGGAAAAAAUCAACUGAGCCUCAGUUCCGCCCCUACACAGACAUGU